UCCCAGCCGAUUCCCUCCCAUGCACUGUUUCCAAUUCGACUUGACUUUGCGAAGCAAUGGCAUUCACAAACAAACAAAGCUCAAUAACUAAUGGCUUUCAAAACAAAUUAGAAAUCCAAAGUCCAAACAAAAGCAGAGAAUAAAAGGUCAGAAAUCCAAAAUGCCACUAUCUUGAUCUUGUGUACAGCACAUUUCUCUCUUUUCCGUUGAUUUCGCUAUUCUGUUUCCGGUUCUAACAAGUCCAAUUAUCUCCGUCUCCCGCAAUUGCCGCUAGAGCGGACGAAAAUAAGCCAGAAAGUGAAAGAAAGCAAUAUAGAACGUUCCAAUGCUUGCUGACUACGUUGUAUAAAAGCUCUUUUCCUUCUACUGUUGUAAUCUUACCCUGCAAUUUCUAAGCCAGCUGACUUGAGUCUGGAGGCGGCGGUCCCGGAAUCUGAACGGAUCUGGGCGAAACUCAGAUUCGUCCUUGAUCAUAUGCUUCUGCACUGCGGUGGCCGGUGACGCUGAUCAAUGGGUUGUGUGAAUUCGAAGCAGGCGGUAUCGGUGACGCCUGCUGUUGACCACUCCGGUGUGUUUCGCGGCAAUGCGGGUACGGGGAAUUCUGGAAGGAAUUUAGGAGAGUUGGACAAGAAGAAGAGUGAGUCAGUGGAGCUGAGUAGAAGCGAGGUGGGGGAGUCCGGGAGGGCGAGUUCAAAUGGAGGUUGUGAGUCGUUAAGCUUCAGAUUGGGGAAUCUGCAGAAGUAUGUACAAGGAGAGCAAGUGGCAGCGGGUUGGCCGGGUUGGCUCACCGCAGUCGCCGGUGAAGCCAUUCAGGGUUGGGUGCCCCUCCGAGCCGAUGCGUUUGAGAAACUUGAGAAGAUUGGGCAAGGUACAUACAGCAGUGUCUUCCGAGCGCGAGAACUUGAGACAGGGAAGAUAGUGGCUCUGAAGAAGGUGCGGUUUGACAACUUUGAGCCCGAAAGUGUAAGGUUCAUGGCUCGAGAAAUAAUGAUUCUCAGAAGGCUUGAUCAUCCAAACAUUAUAAAAUUGGAGGGCUUGAUUACUUCUAAAUUGUCCUGUAGCAUAUAUCUUGUAUUCGAGUAUAUGGAACAUGACAUUACAGGGCUCUUAUCCUCCCCUGAUAUCAAGUUUAGUGAACCGCAGAUUAAAUGCUACAUGAAGCAGUUGUUGUCUGGACUUGACCAUUGUCAUUCACGGGGUGUAAUGCAUCGAGACAUCAAAGGAUCUAAUCUUCUAGUGAAUAAUGAAGGGAUACUAAAGGUUGCUGAUUUUGGACUGGCGAACUUCUCAAAUUCUGGGAACAAACAGCCCCUCACAAGUCGUGUAGUUACAUUGUGGUACCGUCCUCCUGAGCUUUUACUGGGUUCAACUGACUAUGGUCCGUCUGUGGAUCUCUGGAGCAUUGGCUGCGUGUUUGCUGAGCUACUUGUUGGGAAGCCUAUCCUUCAGGGGAGAACAGAGGUUGAACAAUUGCACAAAAUCUUCAAGCUUUGCGGUUCUCCACCUGAAGAAUACUGGAAAAAGUCCAGACUCCCUCAUGCAACCUUGUUCAGGCCACAGCAACCAUAUAAUAGUUGUCUCCGGGAGACCUUCAAAGAUUUGCCUUCAACUUGUGUGAACUUGCUACAGACUCUUCUUUCCAUUGAACCAUACAAACGUGGAACUGCCUCUUCCGCUCUCUCAUCAGAGUAUUUCAAAACAAAGCCAUAUGCUUGUGAACCAUCAAGCUUGCCGGUAUACCCACCUAGCAAGGAGAUUGAUGUGAAACAGCAGGAGGAGUCAAGGAGGAAAAAGAUCGGUGGCAGAGCACGUGGAUCUGAAACAAGAAAGCCAUCAAGAAAGCCAUUAGGAUUCAACAAAUUAGUCCCAACAGAGGAUUUGGCAAGUCAAACCCGGAAAUUCCAAAGGGUGAAUGGCAGGUCAGUCCACAUCCUUAAAGAAGGGAUCCCCAACGUAAGUAAGGAGGAACCAAAGGCAUCUAAUGAUAAACCCGAUGAUGCGUCUCAUACGAAGAAUGCAUCUCAAGGAGAGAUUCCCUUUUCCGGGCCAUUGCAAGUUUCCACAUCAAGUGGCUUUGCAUGGGCAAAAAGACGAAAAGAUGACAUUUCAAUAAGAUCCCACUGUCGAUCUAUUUCAAGAGGGCAUAUUAUCAAUCCAUUGGAGUCUGCUGUACCAAAUUCAAUGAAUAAUAUUGAUUCCAGAAACAUGGAAAAUAAGGAUUGUCUGGGACGCUCCAACUCUAGGAGUCGUGAUCCACUUGAAAUCCCUAAGAUUGCCAUGCAAAAUCAAUGGAGCAAGUUUGAUCGCCCAGAUUCUUUUGACGCUUCUGACGAAUACCACUCACAAGAGCUAUGUAUGGCGCUUUAUCAUAGAGAGGAUUCAAUAUCCAAGAGAAGUAACCUGAGUUAUCAGGAUCAAGGAGAGAAGGUUGAGUUUUCAGGACCUUUGCUAUCUCAAAUGCAUACUGUUGAUGAGCUCUUAGAAAAACAUGAGCGCCACAUCCGCAGAACAGUCCGAAGAUCUUGGUUUCAAAGAGGUGUGACAGCUAAAUGAAGUAGCAGUAGCCUUCCCUUCCUCCAAUCCCACAAUGAUUAAAAGAAAAAAAAUUACACAAUUGGUAAGAAGCAUGGGAAACAAGUGUAAAGCUAAUUGCUUCGAGAUAUUGAGGAAGGAAAAGACGUGUCCUCUCCCACCCUGCACAGAGAACAGAUGAUACGGGAAAUCUCUUUCCAGAAGAGAAGAUCCUCUCCCCAUUCUCCAAUCACAUUGCUAUGAGCAACAAAUAAACUGCAGAAUUAUUGACACAGAUGCAGUAUACGGCAGCAUAAUUAGAUCUACUUGGUCGGGAAGCUGAAAACUCGAGGAAACGUAGCCCUUUCAGCCUUCAAUUCGUAGUCAUAUAAAGCCGAAGACCAGGGGUUAAAAAGGAAGGUUUUUGACGGAAUUUUUUUUUUCCUUCUAAUUUUUGGCCAGUAUUUCUGUAGGAUCAAAACCAUGUUCUUGACUCGCCCUUUUUGACUUCAUCAUUUACUUGCAAGUUUCAUCCGGCAAUGUAUAUAUAGAUCUGCCGUGAAUGGCUUGAGCUCAAGUCUAGGCUCCUUUCCUGUGUUUUAGGCUUCGAAGAAAUUAAUCAACUGUUUAACCUAACAUUUAUGAUAUUCUCAAGAAAUUUUGUUUUCGACAGAGUUUUAUUACUACUGAUAAGAAGGUUCCAGUAAAUCUCUCUUUCGAAUGGAACAGUUAUCUCAGGCUGCUUUAGAUUUGAGUAGCGUGGAGGGCAUGAGCUCUCCGAUGUAAAAUUUGACAUCUACAAAUCUUAUUGAGAGGCCUUUGAUGUU